rnacentral:rRNA from 1 species
GUGGCAGCAGCCGCGGUAAAACCAGCACCUCAAGUGGUCAGGAGGAUUAUUGGGCCUAAAGCAUCCGUAGCCGGCUCUGUAAGUUUUCGGUUAAAUCCAUGUGCUCAACGCAUGGGCUGCCGAAAAUACUGCAUAGCUAGGGAGUGGGAGAGGUAGACGGUACUCGGUAGGAAGGGGUAAAAUCCNUUGAUCUAUCGAUGACCACCUGUGGCGAAGGCGGUCUACCAGAACACGUUCGACGGUGAGGGAUGAAAGCUGGGGGAGCAAACCGGAUUAGAUACCCGGGUAGUCCCAGCCGUAAACGAUGCAGACUCGAUGAUGCAUUGGCAUAUAGCCAGUGCAGUGUCGCAGGGAAGCCGUUAAGUCUGCCGCCUGGGAAGUACGUACGCAAGUAUGAAACUUAAAGGAAUUGGCGGGGGAGCACCACAAGGGGUGUAGCCUGCGGUUCAAUUGGAGUCAACGCCAGAAAUCUUACCCGGAGAGACAGCAGAAUGAAGGUCAAGCUGAAGACUUUACCAGACAAGCUGAGAGGUGGUGCAUGGCCGUCGCCAGCUCGUGCCGUGAGAUGUCCUGUUAAGUCAGGUAACGAGCGAGAUCCUCGCCACUAGUUGCUAUCAUUAUUCUCAGGAAUAGUGGGGCGAAUUAGUGGGACUGCCGUUGUUAAAACGGAGGAAGGAGGGGGCUACGGCAGGUCAGUAUGCCCCGAAACUCUGGGGCCACACGCGGGCUGCAAUGRUAGCGACAAUGAGCUCCAAACUCGAAAGAGAGUGGCAAUCUCUAAACGCUACCACAGUUAUGACUGAGGGCUGUAACUCGCCCUCACGAAUAUGGAAUCCCUAGUAACCGCGUGUCAUUACCGCGCGGUGAAUACGUCCCUGCUCCUUGCACACACCGCCCGUC